UGUUAAAAAUUUCAUCCAUUUCUACUUUUAAAAACUAGUGUAACUAACAGAAUAACCAGACAGUUACACUUGGUGUGCCAUAUUUACCUCAUGCUAACAUAGAGGGAUCAGUUUUUAGCAGUAGAAAUGGAUAAAAUUUUUAACA
rfam:Gossypium raimondii Chr12_contig_84, whole genome shotgun sequence.